GGGACCAGGCCAGCGAGGUCUUCACCACUGAGGUUGAGGAGAAGGGAAGGAGCAGCGAGGCGGGUGCUACGAUUAGGUCGUCGACGUGGACAAGAAGCAGCGGGGACAGCGGUCCCGUCACAGUGGGGUGGACCGGCAUGGGAGAGGGACGAGGUGGGUUCUCUAUUGGUGUGGUUCUGGGGAUUGCAAGGCUUGUUCCAUCUGGUUUCAGGAGUGUGUGUUGCUCCUGUAAUUUUUCUCAGAGGAGCCCAAACUUGAUCUGCCCUUGCCCAAGCUUGCUGAGAAGAGUUCAUAGGGGCAGAAAAUAAAUAGGCAAGGGUAUUGGUGAAUGCAGAAUUGGUGGGAGCUAUGGUAAUGACCGCGUACAUUGCCGCGGGGAGGAACUUGUUGUCUCCCGGACACACAAAUUAUGUUGAACAAUCAAGACCUUGAAGGUUGGUUUCUACCUGAAGGUUGGUUUCAACAAGUGUUAUAAACUUGAGCUCCUUUCCUUGAGUUCAUGUGGUUUGGGUCGACUUUGUCCUUAAGAUAGACCCCAUGGUUGGAGCUCCACACGAUUGAACUGGUCCACUCUGGCAAGUGGUCUCGAUCUCUUGGAUACUUGGUACUAUGAAAACCACACACUGUAUUUUGGCCAUUUCCGUUGGCCGAGUGCUUACCUUGUACCACAAAUCAAUCGAUUCUGUAUCUGAAUUUUCCUACUCCAAUGGUAAGUCUGCACUACAAUGCGCUGUACAUCAACACUUUGUUAUUUAUCUAUCUCAGAGUAUACUUGUUGCUUCAUGUUAUACGCUUCCAUAAUUUAUUCUUAUUUUUGCUUCAGAUUUGAAUUAAAACUGAAUGUCCCCAACACCUCACUCUUUUAUUCAGGAAACUUAUUUAGAUUGGUUUACAGAAAUUCACGUAUAUAUAGGCAGCCUCACAGCUUAUGUAGGCAUGUUCUUAGUCUGAUUGUGGUCUUCAGAGGGUGUGAACGUAUGUAUAAGCAGUGUCAUUGUCAGAUAAUGCUUGCAUGGUAGACUUCCACAGGCCUGUAAAAGCUGCUGGAACAGCCCAUAUAGUUAUUAUGUUUGGAAUAUCUUUGCUUUUGUUGGUCCAUAUGGCAUACAUGCAAGGGCAGAGAUUUCGGAUGUGCUUACCUUGCCAAAAGAUCAUUGUUGGUAGGAUAGCUGUAUCAUUGCACUUGGCAUCUACCUUACUGUAUUAGGUUUCUCAAUGUUUCAUGAGGUUUUAUUUUGUGAGUUCUGGCACUCUUUGUUAUACAUGCGUGAAAACUGUUUUCAAACAUAUAUGACAUACAUUUAUUGUUACCAGUCUGCAAAAAGUUAGGAUCUCAUCAAAAGUGUUUGGCCUUCCAAACGCAAUUUACUCAACACACAAGGCAAGGACCGUUUGUGUCGAGGCGACUGUUUAGUUCUAUCCAUCUCAGUGCCAACUAAGCAAUGGACUUGCAAAGAAAUCAAUAUCCAUCUAUGUCUACCGGAAACUGGAAGAGGUUGAAGAUUGGUUGGCAAACGAAGAGGUUGAUUCUGCCUUAUCAUAUAGAUAGUUUUUCGUAGACAUGAUUCAUAGAGAUGAUUCUAUAUGAUGCAUGCGCUCUAAUUGACUACAUGUCUUAAUUACCAUCAGCUUGGUGACCAAAACAAUUUAUAUGAUGCAUUUAUGUCUAUGUAGCUUUGCUUAUCAUGAACUGAUCUCAAGCCUUUCUUUUGGCCUUUGAAACUACCUUGAAUGUAAUAUAUAAUGCCAUUUUUUAACAUCUUACCUAAAUAUCUAUUUCCUUAUGGUUCAAUUAUUUAAUGAUCGGUCUCUGAAGAUUCUAAUUUUCAUGGUUUAAAAACAUGCUUCACUCUCGCCCUUUGCGCCAUUGGCGCAACUGGUCACAGCUGAAGUAGCAGCGGCAACCAAGAGUAAGCAGCAAAAGCGAGCAGCAACAAGCUCUUGGCCUAACCAUGUUGGCCCGGACAAAAAUGGUCUCAGGAGGCAUCGCCACAACCAUCUCCAACGACGACCAGAAUGAGAAAAAACGACGUUGACAAAGAAAAGAAGGCACAAGAAGGCAGUGGCGGCUUCUCACCCUGUUGUUCGUGGAGAGUUCGGACGACACGGGGACGGAUGAUGGUGAAUUCAAGACGGCAGCAAUGGCAGUCAGUGUCGAGGAAGAAGUAGGAGAGACCCGCGAGUUUGAAUCCUUGGUUCAGAGGAGACACGAGCGGCGUUGCAGCGACAAUUGACGGACUAGAGGAAGGCGGCCUCGGUCCAAAAGUUUGAUGCAUGCUCGGUGUCCAAGAAUCGAAUCAGAACGACGAUCGGAGCUGAACAGAGUUAGGGAAACUACCUAGGAUCAAGGACUCACUGAAAAAUGAGGCGAUUCACGGCGGCGUCCAGCGGGCCUGCAUGUUGGACCCCGGGGCGUGGACGUCGAGCCGGACAAAGGGCUGGUGGAUCCCACCCAUUCCUACGGCUGGAGUUGCAGUGGUGAGUAGCGGCGUCCCCGACGAGCUCGACUAGGAGGAUUCAGGAGUAAGAGGAAAUGGAUUCAGGAGGGAGGUAGUGGAGUGGAGUAGGGGUAAAACUUGAAGGGGCACGGAGUUGCGGGCGCAUGUCCACGAGCUGGCGCUGCCAGCCUGACUGGUGGGUUCGCAAAAGGUUGAAAGAAAAAUAAAAAAAUUAAAAAAAAUUAAAAUGGCUGGAAUAUCUCUUCCUCCUCUACUCCAUCAUAAUCUACUCAGGAUUAAUUUCAAUGCUCAAAACAAAUCAGAAAUAUCUUGGAAAAUUUCACAUAUGCUUCUACUUACAUAAUAUAACUCUGUGAAAAUGUCCAAGACUUUUCAGGAGUAUUUGACUGUCCUUUUUCAGAUUUGAAUUCAAAUAUGCCCCGAGUUUGGGUUUGAACUGUAAGCCGGUGAUAUGAAAUUCUGAAAUUCAUUAAUCUUUUACUAGAGUUUGUAAAGAACACAUGACUCUAAGAUAUAGCAUGGAGUAUGACUUAGACAUGCCAAACUAUUUUAAAAAAUUGUUUGUAAAUAACUCUUGGUUUGGAUCAGUUUUUUGCGUCUUGGAAAACAUGUAUCAUCACGAACCAUCUAUCUAUCAUCAAUUCGUAUGUAUUUUCAUAUGUUUCAUUUUGUGUAUACAUAUUCUUUCAAUACAUGGCUUGCACUCGGCCUUUGCGCCAUUGGCGCAACGGGUCAUCUUCUGGACAAUUAUGUGGGGAAGGUGCAGCAAGCCGGCCCUCGCGUUGCAGUAGAGUGGAGCCGGCAAUUUUAUGAUCAGUCUCUAAAUAUUUCAACUUGCACAGUUUGAAUUAGCUUCACAUGGUAUAUAGUUUCAACAUAGGUAUUCCUUAAUUUUUCAUAUAAAAGGUUUAGAAUUAUUACCCUCAGUGCUAAAACUCAAAGUUACUAACAAAUGCAAAUGUUUGUGUUACAAAAGGUUUAGAAUCAUUUACCCUUGAUGCUCGAAUUUGGACCUUGCACCUUACUUGAGUAACAUAGAGCCAAAUGGCACAUUGUCCAAAUACACGUUCAAAAGACUUUGGGUUUGACAUGUUCUCUAUCCUUGAUCAAACAUAAAAUUACUAAAAAAGGCAAAUAUUUCUCAACACGAACAUGAUUUCAAAUGGGUCUCUGCGCCAUUUGGCGCACCGGGUCAUCUAGUAAUUUUAAGAUGAACUAGACCAUGAUGGCGCACGUUGCAGCGCCCUUCUAUUUUUUCUAUAGAAUGGUAGGAAUUUUCUUACAUGAAACAUUUAAGUUAAAUGUGUAUAAACUUUCUGCAAAUCAUGUUUGUAUAGUUACCCAAUAUUUCAUGGGUGAUAUGCAUGAGGUGCCCAUCUUGCUCAAGCCCAUCUCGAAAACAAAAGGUAGACAUAUUUAAACCGUAUAAAUGAACAGUUGGAAUUAAAAUGCCUUGCUCUUAGCAGGUUGCCACAUGGUAUGACUUACAUCCUAAUUAAUAGCAUAAAGCAAAGCACAUUCAAUUAAUCCCAAUAUACAACACAACUGUCAGACAAUCAUAACAUAUCCUACUUUUUAUAGAGUUAGGCUGGUUGUUGAUCUACCCCCCUUCGGGUUGGGUGAAAAUUAAUUCUGAUGGAUCGCUAUCUUCAGAUGGAAGAGCUGGAGCUGGCAUGGUGUUAUGAGAUGACACCGGACCUAUUUUUUUCCUUCUUGCAUAGAACUUUUCUCCUACCAGGAUGAUUUAGAAUCAGACUUAUGUGCUUGUAGGCAGGGCUUAUCAUUGGCCUUCAGAGGAGUGACCUUCCC
rnacentral:rRNA from 1 species